CCUCUGUAUCCGUGAUCAGAAAGUCGCUGGUUCAAGCCCAGCCUUGGCCAAAUAGUCACAGGGCAGCCCCUAGAGCAAGGGCCUUAACUCUAACCCACAGAGACAGGUGCCACAUGUGUGUGAAUCCUUUAUUUGGCAAGAUAGGGGAAAAAAGACAUAUAUACGAAAUACAGGCCACGCCCCCUGGGGUGGCGAGUGGCGCUGCAGGCUAAGCCUCUGUAUCCGUGAUCAGAAAGUCGCUGGUUAAAGCCUAGCCUUGGCCGAAUAGUCGCAGGGCAGACCCUAGAGCAAAGGCCUUAACUCUAACACAUAGAGACAGGUGCCACAUGUGUGUGAAUCCUUUAUUUGGCAAGAUAGGGGAAAAAAGACAUAUAUACGAAAUACAGGCCACGCCCCCUAGGGUGGCGAGUGGCGCUGCAGGCUAAGCCUCUGUAUCUGUGAUCAGAAAGUCGCAGGUUCAAGCCCAGCCUUGGCCGAAUAGUCACAGGGCAGACCCUAGAGCAAGGGCCUUAACUCUAACACACACAGAGACAGGUGCCACAUGUGUGUGAAUCCUUUAUUUGGCAAGCUAGGGAAAAAAAGACAAAUACACGAAAAACAGAAUAUAUCUCCAGGGAUGGUGAGUGGCGCUGCAGGCUAAGCCUCUGUAUCUGUGAUCAGAAGGUUGCUGGUUCAAGCCCAGCCUUGGCCAGAUAUUCACAGGGCAUUUUUUUUUUUUGUCAAAAAAUUUUUUUUGAAAAAUGGACUGGUGGGUGGCUAAUCCUCUGUGCUUGUGAUCAAGUCAGUGUGCUCGAGCCUGCCCUCAGCA